rnacentral:misc_RNA from 1 species
UACGAAGGGUGCAAGCGUUGUUCGGAAUUACUGGGCGUAAAGCGCGCGUAGGCGGAUUUGUAAGUCGGAUGUGAAAUCCCCAGGCUUAACCUGGGAAUUGCAUCCGAAACUGCAGACCUUGAAUGCUUGAGAGGAUGACGGAAUUCCUGGUGUAGAAGUGAAAUUCGUAGAUAUCAGGAGGAACACCGGAGGCGAAGGCGGUUGUCUGGCGAUGCAUUGACGCUGAGGCGCGAAAGCGUGGGUAGCAAACAGG